AAACUUAAAAAGGAAAGAUUACUUUGUUGUCACCAAAAACACAAUAAUUCCAUUGAUACUUUAAUAAAGAGAAAGAGAGUUGUUUUGAGAUAACUCUCAAAGUUACAAUCAAAGUUCUCAUUACAUAACUAUAUAUAUAUGUCUCGAAGUUACAAUCAAAAUUCUCAUUACAUGCAUAACUAUAUAUAUAAGUUAUUAUCUUGCUAACCCUAGUUACAUAGAACAUUACAUGGCUUUCGGAUUACUCAUAAGACUAUAUUUGGCUUCAUAUUAAACUUCUAAUAGUAAAUCUAUAGUGAGUUGGCGAUUUCUUAGC
rnacentral:sRNA from 1 species